CAGUAGCCACGGUAAUACGGAGGGAGCUAGCGUUGUUCGGAAUUACUGGGCGUAAAGCGCGCGUAGGCGGUUACUCAAGUCAGAGGUGAAAGCCCGGAGCUCAACCCCGGAACUGCCUUUGAAACUAGGUGACUAGAAUCUUGGAGAGGUCAGUGGAAUUCCGAGUGUAGAGGUGAAAUUCGUAGAUAUUCGGAAGAACACCAGUGGCGAAGGCGACUGACUGGACAAGUAUUGACGCUGAGGUGCGAAAGCGUGGGGAGCAAACAGGAUUAGAGACCCCCGUAGUCCCUGUCUCUUAUAC
rnacentral:rRNA from 1 species